rnacentral:lncRNA from 1 species
AUUGGGAUUACAUUCAAAAAUUUUCAAAAUACCUAUUUUCUCAUUGAGGUUUCUCCUCUGUAUUUUUUGUAACAUGAUUACUCCCUUACAAAAAAUAGUUUUGCCUCUGAAAGUCAUUUACUGGACUACUCUUGCCAUGUCAAUGCAUGAGAUUGAAUUGUUUGUUUUUUUUUGGUCUCUAGAUCUAUGAACCUGGUCCUAGCAACAGUACUCAAACAGUACACACAGUAACUCCCAAGUCACUGUAUCACCAUGUCUCGAGAGUUCUACAAGUGUGAGUGACGCUGAUAUUGUGAACUUGAUUUCUCAAGUUUGUGUGUCGUCUCUUUCCUACCGAGGAUCAGGAAGAAUGGUACUCUCCGCAUAAGACAGUCAACAAGAUUUCAGUGCGUGCCAAAGGACGCCUUCAAAAUAUUCGAGAUAACAUAAGGAAGGGACUUAUAGCAGCUGGCGCGGUUUCAAGCCAAAGGUCUCGUAAGGCCAAACAUGUGGUGCUAGUUUCAGAGAAACCAACUGAAACUGCCAAGGAGUUACAAGAUAAAGUUUCCCACUUGAAAAAAUCUACAAAAAUUACUGCAUCAACUAAAACUUACUGGAGAGAAACAGCUGAUAUUAGAUGGAAUGAAUGGAAAGACCAGCCCAUCCAUAAGAUUUUUGAAGCCUAUCCCAUUCUUGGUCUUGACGAAGGCUGGGAAUUAGUAAGUUCAAUCUCAAUCUAUUUUAUUCUAUUUUUCUUUAAUACAUCCUCCAGUAAAGGAAAGUUUUAGGAGGUGCCUUUAAGAAAAAGAAAAUUAAAAAUGAUCCGAUAUGAUGCACAUGUACCUAUCUAUCUCUGAGAAUGUUUUCUGUCGGAAUUUACCAGACUGUAAUUUUAAAUUAAUGACUUAUUUGUACUCAUAAGAAUCUCAAUCUGGAAUCAACCGUAUAAGUUACCGUUUAAGUAUACCGUUUCUAAUAAGUUAUGCAUUUCAUCUGCAUUUGCUAGUUUUAGAAUCUAGGAAGCUGAUGGAAAAGUUUAUCUUUUGCCGGACAAUGUUGGACAGGUUUUAAAUUUCGUUUAAUUAUCAUGAAAAGGAUGUCACUUUAUCCUUCAAGCCCCACAAUUUUGCAAUUUUUUGAGAUGUUUCUUUUCAGGAGGAAAAUUUUGGAGGAAACA